rnacentral:lncRNA from 1 species
UUACAUCCAUUGCCGGUCCAUCUGCAUCGUAUUACAUGAAAAAUAGACAUAAAGCUUCAUAUUAGAUAAAGAACUUGAUUAAUAGAAUAUUAGGUAGAGGAAAGAUAGAGUAAAUGUGUUUAUAAUAUUUAGUCCUCACCUUAAAAAGCUAUCCAUUCUCCUCGUUCUAAAUGGUCAACAAGUACUCCAUUUGUAAUAUCAAAACUCAUUCUAAAAAACUCCCCAUUCACCUCACUCUAAAGAAAAUCUCCAUUCUCCUUGUUCUAAAAGAUCAACAAGUACUCCAUUUGUAAUAUAAAACUCAUUCUAAAAAACUCUCCCUUAUCCUCACUCUAAAAGAUCAACAAGUUUGUACUCCAUUUGUAAUAUAAAACUCAUUCUAAAAAACUCCCCAGUCACCUCACUCUAAAAAACUCUUCAUUCUCUUCAUUCUAAAAGAUCAAUAAGUACUCCAUUUGUAACAUAAAACUCAUUCUAAAAAACUCUCCAUUCU